ensembl:lncRNA
CCAUGGGGGGGUUGUGUUGUGGGGUCCCCAUUGCAGUUUAUGGGGGUCGUGUUGUGGCGUCCCCAUUGCCAGUUAUGCAGGGGGUUGUGUGUGGGUCCCCAUUGCAGUUAUGGGGGUUGUGUUGUGGUCCCAUUGCAGUUAUGGGGGGGUCGUGUUGUGGGUCCCCAUUGCAGUUAUGGGGGGUGUGUGCUGUGGGUCGCCAUUGCAGUUAUGGGGGGUGUGCUGUGUGGGUCCCCAUUGCAGUUAUGGGGGGUUUGGCUGUGGGUCCCCAUUGCAGUUAUGGGGGGUUGUGUUGUGGGUCCCCAUUGCAGUUAUGGGGGUUGUGCACUGUGGGUCCAUUGCUAGUUAUGGGGGGUCGUGUGUGGGUCCCCCAUGCAGUUAUGGGGGGGGUCGUGCUGUGCGCCUCCCUUGCAGUUAUGGGGGUUGUGUUGUGGGUCCCCAUUGCAGUUAUGUGGGGCUCGUGUUGUGGGUCCCAUUGCAGUUAUGGGGGCGGUUGUGCUGUGGGUCCCAUUGCAGUUAUGGGGGGUCUGUUGUGGGGUCCCCAUUUGCAGUUAUGGGGGGUUGUGUGUUGUUGGGUCCCCAUUGCAGUUAUGGGGGUUUUAUUGUGGGGUCCCCAUUGCAGUUAUGGGGUCACUCACCGUCACGGUGCGUCGGCUCCUCUCGGGGUUUGGGGUGCAUCAAAGUGAAGGGCAGCUCCACCGCAACGUCACUGCACACAGAGCACAGACCCACUAUAGGUAUAUAGAUACAGUAUAGAGAGUAUAGAUCCAGUAUAUAGAGAGUAUAGACCCAGCCCUAUGGGGUGGGCUCAGUAUAGAUGCUGCCCUAUGGGGUGGGCUCGGUGUAGAUCCAGCCCUAUGGGGAGGGCUCAGUAUAGAUCCAGUAUAUAUAUAUAUAGUAUAGAUCCUGCCCUAUGGGGUGGGCUCAGUAUAGAUCCAGCCCUAUGGGGUGGGCUCAGAAUAGAUCCAGUAUAUAUAUACUAUAGACCCAGCCCUAUGGGGUGGGCUCAAUAUAGAUCCUGUAUAUAUAUAGUAUAGAUCCAGCUCUAUGGGGUGGGCUCAGUAUAGAUCCAGCCCUAUGGGGUGGGCUCAGUAUAGAUCCAGUAUAUAUAUAUAGUAUAGACACAGCCCUAUGGGGUGGGCUCAGAAUAGACCCAGCUCUAUGGGGUGGGCUCAGUAUAGAUCCAGUAUAUAUAUAUGAUAUAGAUCCAGCCCUAUGGGGUGGGCUCAGUAUAGACCCUGCCCUAUGGGGUGGGCUCAGUGUAGACCCUGCCCUAUGGGAUGGGCUCAGUAUAGAUCCAGUAUAUAUAUAGUAUAGAUCCAGCCCUAUGGGGUGGGCUCAGUAUAGACCCAGUAUAUAUAUAGUAUAGAUCCUGCCCUAUGGGGUGGGCUCAGUAUAGAUCCAGCCCUAUGGGGUGGGCUCAGUAUAGAUCCAGUAUAUAUAUAGUAUAGAUAUAGUCCUAUGGGGUGGGCUCAGUAUAGAUCCAGUAUAUAUAUAUAUAGUAUAGACCCUGCCCUAUGGGGUGGGCUCAGUAUAUAUCCAUUAUAUAUAUAGUAUAGAUAUAGUCCUAUGGGGUGGGCUCCAGUAUAGACCCAGUAUAUAUAUAGUAUAGAUCCUGCCCUAUGGGGUGGGCUCGGUGCUGAUCCUGUCCUAUGGGGUAGGCUCAGUAUAGACCCAGUAUAUAUAUAUAGUAUAGAUCCAGCCCUAUGGGGUGGGCUCAGUAUAGAUCCAGUAUAUAUA